rnacentral:rRNA from 1 species
GACGAACGCUGGCGGCGUGCCUAAUACAUGCAAGUCGAACGCUUUUUCUUUCACCGGAGCUUGCUCCACCGAAAGAAAAAGAGUGGCGAACGGGUGAGUAACACGUGGGUAACCUGCCCAUCAGAAGGGGAUAACACUUGGAAACAGGUGCUAAUACCGUAUAACACUAUUUUCCGCAUGGCAGAAAGUUGAAAGGCGCUUUUGCGUCACUGAUGGAUGGACCCGCGGUGCAUUAGCGAGUUGGUGAGGUAACGGCUCACCAAGGCAACGAUGCAUAGCCGACCUGGGAGGGUGAUCGGCCACACUGGGACUGAGACACGGCCCAGACUCCUACGGGAGGCAGCAGUAGGGAAUCUUCGGCAAUGGACGAAAGUCUGACCGAGCAACGCCGCGUGAGUGAAGAAGGUUUUCGGAUCGUAAAACUCUGUUGUUAGAGAAGAACAAGGAUGAGAGUAAAAUGUUCAUCCCUUGACGGUAUCUAACCAGAAAGCCACGGCUAACUACGCGCCAGCAGCCGCCGUAA